rnacentral:rRNA from 1 species
AAUGAACGCUGGCGGCAUGCCUAACACAUGCAAGUCGAACGAAGGCUUCGGCCUUAGUGGCGCACGGGUGCAUAACGCGUGGGAAUCUGCCCUUGGGUUCGGAAUAACAGUUAGAAAUGACUGCUAAUACCGGAUGAUGUCGUGAGACCAAAGAUUUAUCGCCCAAGGAUGAGCCCGCGUAGGAUUAGCUAGUUGGUGGGGUAAAGGCCCACCAAGGCGACGAUCCUUAGCUGGUCUGAGAGGAUGAUCAGCCACACUGGGACUGAGACACGGCCCAGACUCCUACGGGAGGCAGCAGUGGGGAAUAUUGGACAAUGGGCGAAAGCCUGAUCCAGCAAUGCCGCGUGAGUGAUGAAGGCCUUAGGGUUGUAAAGCUCUUUUACCCGGGAUGAUAAUGACAGUACCGGGAGAAUAAGCUCCGGCUAACUUCGUGCCAGCCGCCGCGGUAACAC